rnacentral:rRNA from 1 species
CCUACGGGACGCAGCAGUGGGGAAUAUUGCACAAUGGGGGAAACCCUGAUGCAGCAACGCCGCGUGAAGGAAGACGGUUUUCGGAUUGUAAACUUCUGUUCUUAGUGAAGAAGAAAUGACGGUACCUGAGUAAGAAGCACCGGCUAAAUACGUGCCAGCAGCCGCGGUAAUACGUAUGGUGCAAGCGUUAUCCGGAUUUACUGGGUGUAAAGGGAGCGCAGGCGGCACGGCAAGCCUGAUGUGAAAGCCCGCGGCCCAACCGCGGGACUGCAUUGGGAACUACCGGGCUGGCGUGCCGGAGAGGG